UAGUACAUUUAAAUCAAGAUACAUAGCAAUAUGAUAAUAUCACUUCCAUGUUCGGGGUAGCCCAGUGGUUUGAGCUUGGGACUUCCAUGUUGGAGGUCUCAAGUUCGAAACCCCUUGCCAGCGAAAGCAAAGGGUUUGCUUUCUGGGUCGAGCUCGUCGCACCAGGCUUGCCUAGUGCGGUUUACCUCUCCUAUGUGGUUUACGAGCUAUUGCAUAGGAGCGGGGGUUUUACCCUGUGUGCACCCAAAGGGUAGCGGCUGCGGGUUUCCCUUGUAAUAAAAAAAAUAAAAUAUCACUUUAACAAUAGUACAUCAAAUUUUUUGAAGCAACUAACAACAGGGGAUAUAAAAAAAGUAUCAGUUAGGAAAUAAAAAUACCCUGGGUAAUGUAGGUCGAGAAAUUGCAGGAGCAAUUUUUCUACCCUUUUCUUGGGUGAUUUUUCCAUAUCCACUUUAGACGAUGAAGGUAUAUUAUUCGACUUUGCCUUCUCGAAACUUUGAUUCAUCAUUGUAAAUGGAUCGUUCAAGCUUUUAGAUCUGUUUUCAGGAUCAUCAGAAUCCUAAAUUCGAUCAGUGCUAGAUGUAUUUAAUUAGGUAAUCUCAAUACUAAACAAAGGAACAUCCAGAAAAUUGAUUAAAAAAAUGAAGAACAACAAAGUGGAGAAGACGAUAACUACCUAUUGACAAAAUUGAAAUUGAUUGACUGGAGAGAGAAAUCUUUUGAAAUUAGGAUGAAGGAGAUAACUGAUUAAAUUAUGAGAGUGGAAAUAAGGAGAGAGUGAGGAAACGUGGGUUUGGAAUGGAGAGUAAUGUAUCCGGACGUUUGAGUUUUUGUAGGAAAAAGAGGGAUUUUUG
rnacentral:lncRNA from 1 species